AACGAACGCUGGCGGCAUGCCUAACACAUGCAAGUCGAACGAUUGCCUUCGGGUGAUAGUGGCGCACGGGUGCGUAACGCGUGGGAAUCUGCCCUUAGGUUCUGAAUAACAGCUGGAAACGGCUGCUAAUACCUGAUGAUAUCGCGAGAUCAAAGAUUUAUCGCCUGAGGAUGAGCCCGCGUUGGAUUAGGUAGUUGGUGGGGUAAAGGCCUACCAAGCCGACGAUCCAUAGCUGGUCUGAGAGGAUGAUCAGCCACACUGGGACUGAGACACGGCCCAGACUCCUACGGGAGGCAGCAGUGGGGAAUAUUGGACAAUGGGCGCAAGCCUGAUCAAGCAAUGCCGCGUGAGUGAUGAAGGCCCUAGGGUUGUAAAGCUCUUUUACACGGGAAGAUAAUGGCUGUACCGGGAGAAUAAGCCCCGGCUAACUCCGUG
rnacentral:rRNA from 1 species